AACGAACGCUGGCGGCAGGCUUAACACAUGCAAGUCGAACGCCCCGCAAGGGGAGCGGCAGACGGGUGAGUAACGCGUGGGAACAUACCCUUUUCUACGGAAUAGCUCUGGGAAACUGGAAUUAAUACCGUAUACGCCCUACGGGGGAAAGAUUUAUCGGGGAAGGAUUGGCCCGCGUUGGAUUAGCUAGUUGGUGGGGUAAAGGCCUACCAAGGCGACGAUCCAUAGCUGGUCUGAGAGGAUGAUCAGCCACAUUGGGACUGAGACACGGCCCAAACUCCUACGGGAGGCAGCAGUGGGGAAUAUUGGACAAUGGGCGCAAGCCUGAUCCAGCCAUGCCGCGUGAGUGAUGAAGGCCUUAGGGUUGUAAAGCUCUUUCACCGGUGAAGAUAAUGACGGUAGUCGGAGAAGAAGCCCCGGCUAACUUCGUGCCAGCCGCCGCGGUAAUAC
rnacentral:rRNA from 1 species